UACGUAGGGGGCGAGCGUUGUCCGGAAUCAUUGGGCGUAAAGCGCGUGUAGGCGGCCCGGUAAGUCCGCUGUGAAAGUCCAGGGCUCAACCCUGGGAUGCCGGUGGAUACUGUCGGGCUCGAGUCCGGAAGAGGCGAGUGGAAUUCCUGGUGUAGCGGUGAAAUGCGCAGAUAUCAAGGAGGAACACCGGUGGCGAAGGCGGAUCUCUGGGCCAGUUACUGACGCUGGAGGACGAAAGCGUGGGAGCGAAGCAGG
rnacentral:rRNA from 1 species